AUGGUACUCCCUCCGUCCCAAAAUUCUUGUCUUAGAUUUGUCUAAAUACGGAUGUAUCAAGUCAUGUUUUAGUAUUAGGUACAUCUGUAUCUAGACAAAUCUAAGACAAGAAUUUUGGGACGGAGGAAGUACAUG
rnacentral:pre_miRNA from 1 species